GGAUAGCGAACGGGUGAGUAAUACACAAAAAAUUACCUUUUAGUUUGGGAUAAAAAACCAAAUAACAAAAGAUUGAUUAUCGCUAAAAGAUAUGUUUGUGGAAGAUUAGGUAGUUGGUGCGUUAAAAGCCUACCAAGCCUACGAUCUUUAGUUGGUUUGAAAGAAUGAUCAACCACACUGGCACUGAGACAAGGGCCAGGCUUUUUAAGCCAGCAGUGAGGAAUUUUGGACAAUGAGCGAAAGCUUGAUCCAGCUAUACUACGUGAGGGAUGACAGCUUAUUUGGUUGUAAACCUCUUUUAUUAAGGAAGAUGAUGACUUACUUAAAGAAAAAGUCCUGGCUAACUUCGUGCCAGCAGCCGCGGUAAUACGAAGAGGACAAGCGUUAUUCGUUGUAAUUUGGCGUAAAGGGUUCGUAGGUGGCAUUAAGGUUGUUUAAAAUAAAAUCUAAAAGCUUAACUUUUAGUGAUUUAAAAACACUUUUGCUUGAGUAUAAAAGAAGAUUAUGGAAUUUCAAAAGGAUAGGUAAAAUUUGAAGAGUUUUGAAGGAACAUCUACAGCGAAAGCAAUAAUCUAGUUUAUUUAAUACUGACGCUGAGGAACGAAAGAAUAGGUAGCAAACAGGAUUAGAUACCCUGG
rnacentral:rRNA from 1 species